AAUUGAAGGUCAGAAAUGAGAUGGAGGAUUUGCUGGUUGUUAAGUUGAGGAAAUUGUUGAUGAUGUCAUUGGAAAAACGGAUUUUGUUGGAGAAAAUAGCCCAUUUAAGGACUGAUCUUGGAUUGCCUCUAGAAUUUCGUGACACAAUCUGUCAUAGAUACCCACAAUAUUUUAGAGUUGUUGCAACUGAGCGGGGGCCUGCUCUAGAAUUAACUCAUUGGGAUACUGCAAGCUCAGGAUCCNAAUUAUCAGAAGAGGAGAAUAGGGCUAGAGAGCUAGAAGAGAAAGAUCUAAUCAUUGAUAGACCACCAAAAUUCAAUAGAGUGAAGCUGCCUAAGGGUCUCCAGCUUUCUAAGAGUGAAAUGAGAAGGAUCUGUAAGUUCAGAGACAUGCCUUUUAUAUCCCCAUAUUCUGACUUUUCCCAUUUGAGAUCAGGUACACCAGAGAAGGAAAAGCAUGCUUGUGGGGUUGUUCAUGAGAUUUUGAGUCUCACUGUCGAGAAGAGGACCCUGGUGGAUCACCUUACUCAUUUUCGUGAGGAGUUUAGAUUCUCUCAGCAGGUGAGAGGGAUGCUAAUAAGGCACCCUGAUAUGUUUUAUGUGUCCUUGAAAGGUGAUAGAGAUUCAGUUUUCCUGAGGGAAGCAUACCACAAUUCUCAGUUGGUAGACAAAGACCGUUCGUUGCUUAUCAAAGAGAAGCUUCGUUCUCUUGUUGCUGUCCCCAGAUUCCCAAGGCAUGGUGCUCCGAAGGAUGGUGAAAUUGAAAAUAGAAAUGAAGAGCAAGAAGAAGCGUCUAGUGAGGAGGGUGAAGAUUGGUCUGAUAUUGACAGUUAUAUGACUGGCGAUGGACUUGAUGAUGACGAAGGUGGUGGUGACUAUGAAGAUGAUUGGAGUGAUGAAGAUGAUACACCCCCAGGCUUUGAUGAAGAUGAUGAAAAUGUGAAGAUUCAUGUGAACAGAUCAGUGAACAAGUUAAAUAACUCGGCAAAGAAUGAAGAGAAAAUGCUAGUUCCUGCAUUUCCUGAUGGCCGGCCAAGGGAGCGUUGGUAAAUGAGUUGCGAUUCUGUUUUACACAUUAAAGGCCAUAUCCUAGUCUUGAGAUAUAGUUCCAUGAGGCUGUCUGGUGUUCACUGUAGGUUGAUUUCAUGGAAGAAUGGUUAUAAGGUCUGCAACAUUGUAAGGCAGUCCCAAACUUUUUCAUUGUCAAAUUUAUGGAGGAGUUUAGAAAUAUGAUUUGUUUUUGUUUCCUAAGUCCUAACUUGCAAAGC
rnacentral:misc_RNA from 1 species